AGACGAAGGUGGCAACCGUUGUUCGGAAUCACUGGGCAUAAAGCGCACGUAGGCGGGAAAGCAAGUCGGGUGUGAAAUCCCUCGGCCCAACCGAGGAACUGCGCCCGAAACUGCUUUUCUUGAGGACAGAAGGGGAGCGUGGAAUUCCUGGUGGAGCGGUGAAAUGCGUUGAUAUCAGGAGGAACACCGGCGGCGAAGGCGACGCUCUGGUCUGUUUCUGACGCUAAGGUGCGAAAGCCAGGGGAGCAAACGGGAUUAGAUACCCCGGUAGUCC
rnacentral:rRNA from 1 species